rnacentral:rRNA from 1 species
UAUGAACGCUGGCGGCGUGCUUAACACAUGCAAGUCGAACGGAAAGGCCCAAGCUUGCUUGGGUACUCGAGUGGCGAACGGGUGAGUAACACGUGGGUGAUCUGCCCUGCACUUCGGGAUAAGCCUGGGAAACUGGGUCUAAUACCGGAUAGGACCACUUCUUGGAUGUUGUGGUGGAAAGUUUUUUCGGUGUGGGAUGAGCUCGCGGCCUAUCAGCUUGUUGGUGGGGUAAUGGCCUACCAAGGCGUCGACGGGUAGCCGGCCUGAGAGGGUGUACGGCCACAUUGGGACUGAGAUACGGCCCAGACUCCUACGGGAGGCAGCAGUGGGGAAUAUUGCACAAUGGGCGCAAGCCUGAUGCAGCGACGCCGCGUGGGGGAUGACGGCCUUCGGGUUGUAAACUCCUUUCGCUAGGGACGAAGCGUUUUGUGACGGUACCUGGAGAAGAAGCACCGGCUAACUACGUG